rnacentral:tRNA from 1 species
GAGGGUAUAGCUCAAGUGGUAGAGCGCAUGCUUGGCAUGCACAAGGUCCUGGGUUCAAUCCCCGAUAUUGCCA